AUAGUCAAUCACAACAAGAAUGAAUUCUAACUACAAUUGAAUGUAAAGAAUUAACAACAACAAUCAAGGAAAUCACAAUUAUCAUGAAUUACCUCAAAUUGCAUUAUUGAAAGAAAAUAGAGAGAACAAGAGUAUCUCAAUUACAAAAUCUAGAAACAAAAUAAGAGAAAUUACAACAAGAGAAUAGGGAUAGAGAGAAGGACCAAAGUGUGGCAAUUAUCAAUUGAAGGUAGAAGUAGAAGAAGACUUGAAUUAAAUCUAGAACUAUGAGAUCCUAAUCUAACCCUAAUUCCUAAUCCUAAUUCUAGAGAGAAGGGAGAGCUUCUCUCUCUAACUCUAACUAUUUCUAAAACUAAACUACGACUAAUGAUUAAAAGUGUCUAAAUGUAUGAUAAGUAUGUUGAUUC